rnacentral:lncRNA from 1 species
GGUUCUACCAUAAAACCAAUUGGCAAUAUGAGGAGUUACCCAACUUGACACACUCCGACCUGGAAUGUCCACUAGGACUCCGAAUCGAGCUGUGCUGGCCGACACUUGGAAGGUGACGAAGCCAUAAAGUGUAGUGAUGUGAAAAAUAUGAAUAAAUUUAAACCCUACAGGUGCCUAAAUACAAGAGUGCGCGGUGAGCGAGAAUGAACCCAUUUCACGCAUGAUGUCAGAGCAUAAGUAAAGUACAGUAAAAUAGGAUAAGGAUUAUACCCUCAAAGGUAGCCACCUAUACUGAGAUUUGCCAAGAAUCCUUGUCGAUACAAAAGUUCAGCAGCUAAAACCUGGAGGGGUGAAAAACAAGGGUGAGUGGGCCUGAAAAUAAAGUUUAAAUAGAAAUCUUUCAAAACGUUAUAACCCCUCGCUGUAAAACAUGUAUAGUUUCCAAAAUAUACAUACUACAUAUAGUAUGAAAAUACUCACCGUAGCCUGCAAAAUAUAAAGAUAUCAAUACGGCACAAUAGUUCAUAUAUAAGUGCAUGAUGUCAGUAGUCAUAUAUUUUCACAUAAGCAAACAAAUCAAACCAAGUGCUCAUCGACACAUGCUGACACACGAGUUCAUGCAGAGUUAUUUUGACAUGAACAAGACUGGUUGUAAUAAUGAUAUACGUUCUAGUGCUACAAUCAUGUGAAGACUGGCACUAUUCAUGGUCACAUACGAGUCGGAGUUGCCUAAUGCAACCUGUACGACAGGGUUGGCAUCUACUUGGAUCUAAGGUGAGCGUGCGGUGCGGGGAUGUGAACAUACACGUGAAAGACUAGCCCUAGCCCUGGGCGAGCACUAAUACCGGGUGCUGCAAACGAUGAGUAGAUAACAAAAAUAUAGUCACGCCGUAAUGAUUCGAUAGUUUUAAUCAAUGUACUAACAUUCAUAGCCGUAAAUAUAAUUAUGGCAUCAAAGAUUAUAAGCAUACUUGUGCAUCCCGUAGGAUGUAGCAUAUUCCAUAAUUUCUAGUCAAUAUAACAUUCAUCAAAGCCGUAACUUGGAUUAAGGCAUCCCGCAGGAUCCGGAAUAAUUUCAUAAAUUCCGUCAUUUCGCUAAUGCUUAUAAAUUUUAGUCUAAUCCAAGCGUACUUAAGAAUUUUUUUUUCAAAUGCAUAAAUGGAAACUAUCAAUCAUAUAUAUACUAUAAAAAGGAAAAGACCCACUCACUUGAAGUCCGCGGUACAACUCCCUAACACGAAUAUCGAGGUGUCACGAAUGAUUGUUGUCUAGAACAAAAGUCUCAUAAUUCUUAUUGAUAGAAAAUGUAACUUACAUAAAACACAUCCCCAAGGACAUUCUAGAAUGAUUUGUAACCCAUUGACCAAAAGUGAACCAUCAGUCAAAGGUCGACGGUAGGGUCCACAACCCUACAUAACUCGAUCCGGAAGAUCCGCACCUCAGAUUUCCGAUCCAUAACUUCCCAGGAGUUUCAAUAAGCUUCUAGAACAAUAUCCUAAAAUUUUAGAAC